UACGUAGGGGGCAAGCGUUGUCCGGAAUCAUUGGGCGUAAAGAGCGUGUAGGCGGCUCGGUAAGUCCGCUGUAAAAGUCCAGGGCUCAACCCUGGAAAGCCGGUGGAAACUGUCGAGCUAGAGUCCGGAAGAGGCGAGUGGAAUUCCUGGUGUAGCGGUGAAAUGCGCAGAUAUCAGGAGGAACACCAAUGGCGAAGGCAGUUCGCUGGGACGGUACUGACGCUGAGACGCGAAAGCGUGGGGAGCAAACAGG
rnacentral:rRNA from 1 species